rnacentral:rRNA from 1 species
UACGUAGGGUGCAAGCGUUAAUCGGAAUUACUGGGCGUAAAGCGUGCGCAGGCGGUUUUGGAAGUUUGUCGUGAAAUCCCCGGGCUUAACCUGGGAAUUGCGAUGAAGACUGCAAGGCUAGAAUCUGGCAGAGGGGGGUAGAAUUCCACGUGUAGCAGUGAAAUGCGUAGAGAUGUGGAGGAACACCGAUGGCGAAGGCAGCCCCCUGGGUCAAGAUUGACGCUCAUGCACGAAAGCGUGGGGAGCAAACAGG